CGUGCAAUAAUUUCCUCGAUUGG
rnacentral:miRNA from 1 species